GACGAACGCUGGCGGCGUGCUUAACACAUGCAAGUCGAGCGGUAAGGCCCUUUCGGGGGUACACGAGCGGCGAACGGGUGAGUAACACGUGGGUGACCUGCCCUCAGCUCUGGGAUAAGCCUGGGAAACCGGGUCUAAUACCGGAUAUGACUCCAUGACGCAUGUUGUGGGGUGGAAAGCCUUGUGCGGCUGAGGAUGGGCCCGCGGCCUAUCAGCUUGUUGGUGGGGUGANGGCCUACCAAGGCGACGACGGGUAGCCGGCCUGAGAGGGCGACCGGCCACACUGGGACUGAGACACGGCCCAGACUCCUACGGGAGGCAGCAGUGGGGAAUCCUGCGCAAUGGGCGAAAGCCUGACGCAGCGACGCCGCGUGAGGGAUGACGGCCUCGGUU
rnacentral:rRNA from 1 species